rnacentral:rRNA from 2 species
AAAACGACUCUCGGCAACGGAUAUCUCGGCUCUCGCAUCGAUGAAGAACGUAGCGAAAUGCGAUACUUGGUGUGAACUGCAGAAUCCCGUGAACCAUCGAGUCUUUGAACGCAAGUUGCGCCCGAAGCCUUUAGGCCGAGGGCACGCCUGCCUGGGCGUCACA